rnacentral:rRNA from 1 species
AUUCACGGAGAGUUUGAUCCUGGCUCAGGACGAACGCUGGCGGCGUGCUUAACACAUGCAAGUCGAACGAUGAAGCCGCUUCGGUGGUGGA